UACGGAGGGUGCAAACGUUGCUCGGAAUUAUUGGGCGUAAAGCGCACGUAGGCGGCUUUGCAAGUCGGAUGUGAAAGCCCUCGGCUCAACCGAGGAAGUGCAUCCGAAACUGCCGAGCUUGAGUACUUAAGAGGAUCGCGGAAUUCCCGGUGUAGAGGUGAAAUUCGUAGAUAUCGGGAGGAACACCAGUGGCGAAGGCGGCGAUCUGGGAAGAUACUGACGCUGAGGUGCGAAAGCGUGGGGAGCAAACAGG
rnacentral:rRNA from 1 species